rnacentral:tRNA from 1 species
UGGCGAUUCGUUCAGCGGUAGGACACCAGACUCUGGAUCUGGGAACCCAGGUUCGAAUCCUGGAUCGCCAGCCA